CAAAUUUGUUUUAUUUCGGAUAAUGCGUGAUUAUCAACGAUUCUAGAAACGCUCCCGGUUUAGGUGAUCUAGGUGCGCAUUGAAGUUAGACUACGGCUAGUGUGGCAGAAGGUUUGUGCUCAGUGUGAACUAUUAUUUACAACGCGUGUAAGUGUUGAACUGCUAAUCAGUGAUCCGCAAUGGAGAAGUCUUUUUCCAUGGAAUAACUACGAGCGGAAAAUGACGAGCUUCACCUAGAGUUGCACGCCGUGAAGAGCAAGUUUGAGGUAGCUAGCAACAUGAUCAUAGAUUUGUCUGAAGAGCUGGAACAAGUGGUGACAAAAUCUGCUAGGAAAAAGGUACAAAUUCACCAAAAGAACGAGAAUCAGCUUAAAAUUCAAGAAUCAAUAAUUGAAAAAAUUAAAGCAGACGUACACGAGCAACAUGCAGGUCGAACUGUCUGUUUCCAACGCACCGAUUAUGUUCGACGAACAGGAUUUGACAAGAAUAAAACAGAACUGGGAAAACGAGGAAAAACAAUAUCAGACCGAACUGGAAACGCUCCAGCACAAACUCAUGUGCUACGAAUGACUUCUCACAAAGUGGAAAAUCGACGAAAUUACCGAGGAACUCCAAAUGCUGAAGGAACACUUGGAAUGCAAGAAGACGGAACUGCUAACAAAUAGAGAAGAAACCAAUGAGUUGCGCGCGUUGCUUGAAACUGCCCCGCAAGAGAAUGCAUUGCUUUCCGCUUAGCUCGCAGGAAUACGAGCCGGCUCUGACAAAGAAACACCAAAGGAAAUUCCCUGUUCGGUGAGGUUGCCGACCAGCGCAAUAAACUACUGACGAUACUUUCGAAGAUGAAAACGUCUUACAAUAAACUGAAGUUAGAGCACGCGAAUUGUCCGAGACAGAUACAGCAGUUGCGCUAUAUGAGCCAGCAAUCCGAAAGGCUGUACCGACAGUGCAUUAAUUUGAUCGAGUAUGACCGUGUGAUUAUGCUUAAGGAGCAAAACGGCGAGCUACAUGAAUAGGUCGAUAAAGCAUUGUGUCGUAUUCGCUAUUUGGAAAAUGAGAUGGCUUCCAAAAGCGCAGAGUGGGUGAACAAGCUGGUGUCAUAUUACAAAGAACAGAUAAAGAAAUUGGAUACAAGGUUGCGUAGCUGCCAUAUCAAGCAACGCGAAGCAAUGGAAUUGCGAGAAAAUGCGGUAAAGGAUGGCUGCAUGUGGCGACUAGAAAAAAAAGAGACUAGAAAAUGAGUACCUUGCAUAUUGGUCCAGCGCGUUCGCCAUCGUUGCUCGAUACCGAAGAAACAUCACCAUCGAUUACCGAAAUCCCCAAACCCGAGGAAGUGGUGUAGCCGGACAUGGAAAUUUGCGACAAAGAGAACAAAGGUAAGGGAGGCGACGUUAUUAAUCGUGCCGAAACGGUCUACACGACCCACAAUUCACCUUCCGGCAAAGAUGCUGUAGGUGUUACAGAUUCGGCCUCAGUGUUGCAAGUCGAGGACUGCAGGAUUCUCAUCAACGACCGGAGCCGGAUUUAGUAAAAAUCAAUUUUAUGCCAUUGAGGUUUUAUAAAAUUGAUGACCUUAUGACGCUUAACAAAGGGCUUAACAAUACCAAAGUGAAUAUGUCGGAUGCUAAUACUCAAGAUCGAGUGAGCGAGGAUGCUGUUACGGGAAAUCCACUAGCAAAAUAAGUUUCUGUAUGACUGUCACUGACAUUACUAUAUUGCCUAUAUUAGAUUGUUGGGAAGAAUAGUGUGAUACUGUCUCCAUAAUUUAAAAAGACUGGGUCAUAUAGCUUCAGUACACGAUAGCUGCGGGCACUGCAGUUGUUGACGAAAUUUGUUAAAAAUUUGGACGGGUAAAAAAAUGCUUUUUCAGCUACUUCACAUUUCAUCACAUCACAUUCCUUCCGCGACAUCAUUGUAUAGAAAGGCAUCUUAGGGGUUAGGGUUACAUAGUUAGUUUUGCCAAACAUAAAAAUGGUUCGAUACAAUGGUUUCUCAAGUUUUAGAAGCCACCCACGCCAUCACUUUCGUUCUGCGAUAUCUUAGGUUGGAAAAACAACUAAGGGAAUAGUGUGUAA